CAGAAGAAUGAAGAGCAAUGAGUUUCAAACAGAAGUGUGUGGAACUCAAUGAUGGCCACCUCAUGCCGGUACUGGGCUAUGGCACUUAUCAAAAUCCAGAGCCUGAGGAACCAAGGGGACUCUGCAUUAGCAGCAAGGGUGGAAAACUGGAGACGAGUCAUUGCUUCUGCCUCGGUGGGAGGAGGAUCUUCUUCGUCUGAGUCCUGGAUAUCCAGCUGAUGGUAGUGGACUACAACUGGCUUACUUAAAGCAGCUUCAAUCUUCUUGUUCACCACCCAGAGUAUCCAUUUUUGGAGGAAUAUUAACAUGGGGACCUAAUCAUGACUUCUGCCUGAUGUCCCUGUGUGUGGACAGUGAUGCUGGUGAUAUGACCAAAAUGCUGUUGGAUGGAUUUGUCAUUUCUGAUCAAUCUGGGUUGCUUAGCAAUUCACAUUCAGCCGAAGCUUC
rnacentral:lncRNA from 1 species